rnacentral:rRNA from 1 species
GAGUUUGAUCCUGGUUCAGAUUGAACGCUGGCGGCAUGCCUUACACAUGCAAGUCGAACGGUAACAGGUCUUUCGGGAUGCUGACGAGUGGCGAACGGGUGAGUAAUACAUCGGAACGUGCCUAGUAGUGGGGGAUAACUACUCGAAAGAGUGGCUAAUACCGCAUGAGAUCUAUGGAUGAAAGCAGGGGACCUUCGGGCCUUGUGCUACUAGAGCGGCCGAUGGCAGAUUAGGUAGUUGGUGGGAUAAAAGCUUACCAAGCCUACGAUCUGUAGCUGGUCUGAGAGGACGAUCAGCCACACUGGGACUGAGACACGGCCCAGACUCCUACGGGAGGCAGCAGUGGGGAAUUUUGGACAAUGGGCGCAAGCCUGAUCCAGCAAUGCCGCGUGCAGGAUGAAGGCCUUCGGGUUGUAAACUGCUUUUGUACGGAACGAAAAGUCUUGGGUUAAUACCCUGGGAUCAUGACGGUACCGUAAGAAUAAGCACCGGCUAACUACGUGCCAGCAGCCGCGGUAAUAC